rnacentral:lncRNA from 1 species
AAGAAGUCUAACUAUCACUCAAAACAGCACGUACUCACUCCCCAGAUUACUAGAAACAGAACUGUAUUAUUAUUGUAACCAAAGAAUACAAGAAUAGGAGAGCACUCCCUCUGCCAAGGGUUUCUCUUUCGCAAAGAGCCAAAGCUCAAUCUACAAGAUUAUCCAAAAGGUAUCCUGACACAAGACCUCCCUACCUUCUUAUAAAGGCCCCACCAACUAACCAACUAACAACUAAUUCCUAAUCUAUUUCCUUUUAUUCUGCACACAUUAUAUCCUAACAUUACACUCCACUGCAAAACAACCUUGUCUUCAAGGUUGGAACCCUAAACUGUUUCCUCUGAACGUUAUAUUGAAGCCCUGGAAAGAAAUAUUCCUGCCAUUGGUUUUCUGGUGUUUUAUAUGUUUGUGACAACCAUGUCUUGAAUUUUUGGAUGAAAUAUUUCCCACUCCCAGUCCCUGUUAUUGCUGUCAAACCAUGCAAUACCACUGCUACUGUUUGCAAUUUUAAAUUUGGGGACUUGGGUGUGGUGAUCAAUAUGAGAGAUCCUCCUCCAGUGACUUCCACUCUUCUUGGAAUUUUUUAGCCCAAUUUUGUGAAAUUCUCAAAUUCACAUCUCUGACUUCAUCUGUUCUUGUAACAACAACCCUUUCGGCAAUUGCUGCUCCCUUAUUUCCAACAAAACUAGAUUUAACAGUAUAACUAGAGAAUGGCUGAAAGCGAAAAACUUUCUUCAAGCACAUAUCAUUACUAAAUCCAGUUCCAGGAAAAUUAAAUGAAGAUCCAACUAGAUUUGAAUGAUUCACAGGGUUACCUCCAUCUACUUUCGAAUUCUCACUUACUUAAAAUUGGAAGAGAAACUGAAUGUUUUUAUUAUUACUGCUCACUUUUUCCUAAUACCCAUAUUACCCUAUUUAAGGGAUAGUAGAUCAACAUAAAAAAGGCAAAACAGAAAGCUUCUAAAAAGCCCAUUCUAAAAAACCUAUUAGAAAAUACAUUAUAUUUCAACACACUUUGCCACACUCCUAAUCUUGGAUUUUUGAUGCUAGGUCUUGAACCCUUGGACUACAUUUUCUUCCAUAUUAUUGACUGUUGCGUGAACCUUUGUUGAUCCUUUGAUGUUCUGAACUUCAAAAACAUCUGCUGUCCUUGUUGUUUGACCCUGGGUGCCAUUCCCUUCAAUUAUGGACAACUCCACUCCUUCAACCCAUGGGACAAGUGGUUCUUCAUCUGGUUUACCGCCCUGUGGACCUCUUUCUUCCUUCUUCUCUUCAUCAUUAGCCAAGUACUCUCUUUCUUCAGAGAAUUUCUUGCCUUUCUUGAUGUCUUGCAAAAGUUCCUUUCUUGCUCAGUAAACAGCCUCAACUGGGUUGCUCCCUGACACCAUUGUUUUAACCGCAAGCCUCAACAAUUCUUCCCCCUUCUUCACUGGUUUGACAUACACACCUCAACUUUUGUUUCUCUUUUCUUCUCCAUUGGUUGAAUUUUCUCCUCCAUCUGAAAGUUUCUUGGCUUUCUUGAUGUCUAGCAGAUUAUCUUGCACAACAUCCCUACCUGUUUCUCCCUCUUUCUUUCCUUUCCUGAUAGUUUUCUUACUUUUUUCUGAGCCCUUUAUGCGAAUCUUGAUUUGCAUAUUUCUUCUCCAUUCUGCUAGCUCCUUUUUCUGUUCGUUGACCCACCUCUUCACAGAAUCCAUCCUUCCCUCCAGGGCAUUUAUGAGGCUUCUUUAGUCAAGAAGUCUAACUAUCACUCAAAACAACACACACUCACUCACCAGAUUACUGGAAACAGAAGUCUAACUAUCACUCAAAACAACACACACUCAUUCACCAGAUUACUGGAAACAAAACUGUAUUAUUAUUGUAACCAAAGAAUACAAGAAUAAGAGAGCACUCUCUCCUCCAAGGAUUUCCCCUUCACAAAGAGCCAAAGCUCAAUCUACAAGAUUAUCCAAAAAGUACCCUGACACAAGACCUCCUUGCCUUCUUAUAAAGGCCCUACCAACUAACCAACUAACAACUAAUUCCUAAUCUAUUUCCUUUUAUUCUGCACACAUUAUAUCCUAACACAUUAUUAUUGAUAAUGGUAACUACGGAGGAAGACCAAGAAAUGACCCUAUACGAACCAGGAGGCA